GACAAAGCCGAGCUGAGUGUAGAAGCUAAAUAGUUUCCAUUUAAAUAACACAAGCAGUGUUAUGCCCGCCUUGAAUGCUGCACGUCGUAUUGAAUUCAUAUAAGAAAUCAAAUCGAUAAAAUGAGAAUGAUAAUAACUGAAAAUGCUGAUAGAGUCUCGGAAUGGGCUGCCAAGUAUGUGACCAAGAGAAUCAAAGACUUCAACCCGGGACCCGACCGAUACUUUGUCUUGGGUCUUCCUACGGGUGGGACUCCGCUAGGGAUGUACAAGUACCUGAUCAAGUACUACAGGGCCGGUGAAGUUUCUUUCAAGUACGUCAAGACUUUCAACAUGGUCGAGUACGUUGAUACAUCUUCUAUGUUACAUGAUGGUAAUCAUUGGACAUUAUGAGGAAGACAAUGUUUCGGCAGUCGAUUUAAGUGAAGAUACAUCUUCUAUGUUACAUGAUGGUAAUCAUUGGACAUUAUGAGGAAGACAAUGUUUCGGCAGUCGAUUUAAGUGAAGGUACAUCUUUUAUGUUACAUGAUGGUAAUCAUUGGACAUUAUGAAGAAGACAAUGUUUCGGCAGUCGAUUUAAGUGAAGAUACAUCUUCUAUGUUACAUGAUGGUAAUCAUUGGACAUUAUAAAGAAGACAAUGUUUCGGCAGUCGAUUUAAGUGAAGGUACAUCUUCUAUGUUACAUGAUGGUAAUCAUUGGACAUUAUAAUAAAAAAGACAAUGUUUCGGCAGUCGAUUUAAGUGAAGAUACAUCUUCUAUGAUACAUGAUGGUAAUCAUUGGACAUUAUAAAGAAGACAAUGUUUCGGCAGUCGAUUUAAGUGAAGGUACAUCUUUUAUGUUACAUGAUGGUAAUCAUUGGACAUUAUGAAGAAGACAAUGUUUCGGCAGUCGAUUUAAUUGAAGAUACAUCUUCUAUGUUACAUGAUGGUAAUCAUUGGACAUUAUGAGGAAGACAAUGUUUCGGCAGUCGAUUUAAGUGAAGAUACAUCUUCUAUGUUACAUGAUGGUAAUCAUUGGACAUUAUGAGGAAGACAAUGUUUCGGCAGUCGAUUUAAGUGAAGGUACAUCUUUUAUGUUACAUGAUGGUAAUCAUUGGACAUUAUGAAGAAGACAAUGUUUCAUUAUGGCCCAAGCAAGAAAUAUUUGAGAAAACAAGUGAAAUGUCUACAUCGAAAAGUUCGAAGACAACAUAAAAAAAAUUCCACUCUGCAGAUUUAUCGGAUACUGUGACUAUGGUAAUAAUUUAACUGUCGAAGAUUGUGAGACACCAGCUACUGAGGUCUAGUAUUUAUGCUCUCAAGUCUCAGGGGUAAGUGGAAAUGGCCGAUUGGAUAUUGGUUUGUAGACAAUUCGUUGAAGCUAUCUAAUCAGACUUUUAUGUUAUACCAUCCAAAAGUAAUAUAUACUUCACACCAGAUGCGUGUCUUAAUGUAAAGUUAGCUAGAAAUGCUUUGGGGACAUUUGGAGCAUUUCAAGAUGAAGAUAACCUUAAGAUAAGAGGUAACCUUAUUGAGUGGAAAUAUAUUGACAAACUAUACCCGGUACAGAAUAAUGUAGGCUUUAAAUUAGGAAAUAAGCUUAGCUCUGCGCAUGUGAAUUGGAAAUCGAAUAGCAUGAAGGUAAAACUCGCAGUUCAUUCAUUAAGCAGUUCUGUAGCAGACUCUUUACUUUACCCGUGACAAACUUCAAGUGACUUUAGUAACUGUGGUGCAACAAUCAAAUUCAUUAGGUUAAUAGACGAAAUUUUCGAUUUUUUAAACUUCAGAAAUCCUUUUGCCAAAGGAUUUAAACAGGCUAUCUGAACCCAUAAUUUUAAACUCAAUGAGGAUGAAAUGACAAAUAAUAUAAAGUAUUUAUAUUCUUUAAAGACUGUGUCUGGUCAACAACUAUGGAAGAGUAAACGAAAAACGUUCAUAAUAGGUUUUGCUACAACCAUUAAAUCUAUUUUAGCAAUAGCUAGGCAAUAACUAUCAAAACAAAGUUUUAACUUUAUACUAACGUAUAAAUUUAGCCUAGAUGUCAUUGAACUAUUUUUUGGUUUCA